UUAGUAGGUGGCCAACUAAGUCAGACGUGAAAUCCCUCAGCUUAACUGGGGAACUGCGUCUGAGACUGAUUGGCUCGAGGACAGGAGAGGAACGCGGAAUUCCAGGUGUAGCGGUGAAAUGCGUAGAUAUCUGGAGGAACACCGGUGGCGAAGGCGGCGUUCUGGACUGUUUCUGACACUGAAUAACGAAAGCCAGGGGAGCAAACG
rnacentral:rRNA from 1 species